rnacentral:rRNA from 1 species
AGAGUUUGAUCAUGGCUCAGGAUGAACGCUAGCGGCAGGCCUAACACAUGCAAGUCGAGGGGUAGAACAUUUCGGUGUUUGAGACCGGCGCACGGGUGCGUAACGCGUAUGCAAUCUGCCUUGUACAGAGGGAUAGCCCAGAGAAAUUUGGAUUAAUACCUCAUAGUAUAAUUGAAUGGCAUCAUUUGAUUAUUAAAGUUCCAACGGUACAAGAUGAGCAUGCGUCCCAUUAGUUAGUUGGUGUGGUAACGGCACACCAAGACGAUGAUGGGUAGGGGUCCUGAGAGGGAGAUCCCCCACACUGGUACUGAGACACGGACCAGACUCCUACGGGAGGCAGCAGUGAGGAAUAUUGGUCAAUGGAGGCAACUCUGAACCAGCCAUGCCGCGUGCAGGAAGAAGGUUCUAUGGAUCGUAAACUGCUUUUGUACGGGAAGAAAUUAUCCCUCGUGAGGGAGCUUGACAGUACUGUAAGAAUAAGGAUCGGCUAACUCCGUGCCAGCAGCCGCGGUAAUACGGAGGAUCCAAGCGUUAUCCGGAAUCAUUGGGUUUAAAGGGUUCGUAGGCGGAUUAGUAAGUCAGGGGUGAAAGUUUGCGGCUUAACCGUAAAAUUGCCUUUGAUACUGCUAAUCUUGAAUGUUUGUGAAGUAGCUAGAAUAUGUAGUGUAGCGGUGAAAUGCUUAGAUAUUACAUGGAAUACCAAUUGCGAAGGCAGGUUACUAACAGAUUAUUGACGCUGAUGAACGAAAGCGUGGGGAGCGAACAGGAUUAGAUACCCUGGUAGUCCACGCCGUAAACGAUGGAUACUAGCUGUUUGGUCGUAAGACUGAGUGGCUAAGCGAAAGUGAUAAGUAUCCCACCUGGGGAGUACGUUCGCAAGAAUGAAACUCAAAUGAAUUGACGG